GACGAACGCUGGCGGCGUGCUCAACACAUGCAAGUCGAGCGGAAAGGCUCCUUCGGGGGUACUCGAGCGGCGAACGGGUGAGUAACACGUGAGUAAUCUGCCCUUGGCUUCGGGAUAGCCACCGGAAACGGUGAUUAGUACCGGAUAUGACCACUUCUCGCAUGGGAUGGUGGUGGAAAGUUUUUCGGCCAGGGAUGUGCUCGCGGCCUAUCAGCUUGAUGGUGAGGUAAUGGCUCACCAUGGCUUCGACGGGUAGCCGGCCUGAGAGGGUGACCGGUCACACUGGGACUGAGACACGGCCCAAACUCCUACGGGAGGCAACAGUGGGGAAUAUUGGACAAUGGGCGGAAGCCUGAUCCAGCAACGCCGCGUGAGGGAUGACGGCCUUCGGGUUGUAAACCUCUUUCGGUAGGGACGAAGCGCAAGUGACGGUACCUACUAAAAGAAGCACCGGCCAACUACGUGCCAGCAGCCGCGGUAAUACGUAGGGUGCGAGCGUCGUCCGGAAUUAUUGGGCGUAAAGGGCUCGUAGGCGGUUUGUCGCGUCGGGAGUGAAAACCAGGUGCUUAACACCUGGCUUGCUUUCGAUACGGGCAGACUAGAGGUAUGCAGGGGAGAACGGAAUUCCUGGUGUAGCGGUGAAAUGCGCAGAUAUCAGGAGGAACACCGGUGGCGAAGGCGGUUCUCUGGGCAUGACCUGACGCUGAGGAGCGAAAGUGUGGGGAGCGAACAGGAUUAGAUACCCUGGUAGUCCACACCGUAAACGUUGGGCGCUAGGUGCGGGGUCCAUUCCACGGAUUCCGUGCCGCAGCUAACGCAUUAAGCGCCCCGCCUGGGGAGUACGGCCGCAAGGCUAAAACUCAAAGGAAUUGACGGGGGCCCGCACAAGCGGCGGAGCAUGCGGAUUAAUUCGAUGCAACGCGAAGAACCUUACCUGGGUUUGACAUACACCCUGCCGCUCCAGAGAUGGGGCUUCUUUUGGGGGUGUACAGGUGGUGCAUGGCUGUCGUCAGCUCGUGUCGUGCAGAUGAUGGGUUAAGUCCCGCAACGAGCGCAACCCUCGUUAUAUGUUUGCCAGCAUGCCCUUCGGGGUGAUGGGGACUCCUAGGAGACUGCCGGGGUCAACUCUAAGGAAGGUGAGGAUGACAUCAAGUCAUCACGCCCCUUAUGUCCAGGGCUUCACGCACGAUACAAUGCCCGGUACAAAGGGCUGCGAUCCCGUGAGGGGGAGCGAAUCCCAAUAAGCCGGUCUCAGUUAGGAUUGGGGUGUGCAACUCGACCCCAUCAAGUCGGAGUCGCUAGUAAUCGCAGAUCAUCAACGCUGCGGUGAAUACGUUCCCGGGCCU
rnacentral:rRNA from 1 species